GUGAUCCCAAGAUCUCACCCAUGCCCCCUCCCCCAGGAUGCAGCCCACUGGCCUCCAAAUGUCAAGGUCCCACCACAUUACAUCUGCCAGAAGAUUCUGCGAUGACCUGACUCCAGGAGCCACGGGAGAAAGAAGCCCACUGCCAUGUCACUGCACCAGAGCCCCACCCACCUGUAUCUACCUGUGACUCUUCUGCUGGGAAAUUGAAGCUGAGAGGGGUGAAGCAACGUGCCCAAGCUCACAUGGAGUGCACAUGGCAGAGCCAGGACUUGAACUCAUCCACCCAAUUCCAGGCCAAGGAUCUCUUUGUAUCUCAUUGUUCUCUUGGCCAAUGGGACUCAUCUAGCAAGGGCCAAGUAUGGUGCAGCUGCAGACAGGACACUACUGGAAGAUUGAAGCAGAGGGGCAGCCUGAGGGAAAAUAUUUCAGUCCUGUCACACAGCCCAUGUCCCAGAUGGGGUCACCAGGAGAGCCAAUGCAGAGCAAAGGCACAAAGUGAUGCUCAUGCUAAGUAGCAAUCAAGGAACCACAAAGUAACACAAGAGCCGCCGUUCCUGGGUCUUCCUGUGCAGUUCCUGCUGCUGGGAUGUGUUCCAGGGCAGUGAUGGAAUCCUCCCCACCAAGCCAGCCUCCACCAGCUGGGUGGAUUAUUUUUCUUCUCAUGAGCACCAUUUAACAACAUCGAGUCCCCGUCUGGGGUGGUUACAUCAAGAAAGAAUGGGUCUUCAAAGGGAGGCAAUGACAAGUUAUACCCAACAGACUCUACUAGGGUCUGUGCUUCUCUAAAAUACAAAAUUGAGUCCCGCGUGGCUUGACACCAAAACACCAGCUUUGAUUCUUUUUUUGUUUUUGAGGAUACGUUUCAGAAGCUCAGACUUCUCCCCAGAAGUGAAAAUUGCCUUCUGGUGGAGAAAGGUUUUAAUGAUCACUUUGCUUCCUGCGUCUCCAUGGUGACAGGGCGCACACAGCCCACCCUCCUCCCGCCUCAUUAGGCCUUUCUUCCUCCCUGGAAAGUAAUCAAUCAGGCCAUACAGGCGCCUUUGUGACCGGUUUAUCACCUACACAAUCGAGGGUCCCCAGGGGACGGAGGAGUGGGCAAGUCCUUGGAGUUAGAGACC
rnacentral:lncRNA from 1 species